GUCUUUUUGUUAAUAAUUUAAAGUCUAACCUGCCCAUUGAGUUUUGAAAGGCCGCAGUAUCUUGACUGUGCGAAGGUAGCAUAAUAAUUAGUUUUUUAAUUGAAAGCUGGAAUGAAUGGUUGAACGAGGAAAUAACUGUCUCUAUUUUAAUAUUAGAAUUUUAUUUUUAAGUUAAAAAGCUUAAAUAUUUUUAAAAGACGAGAAGACCCUAUAGAGUUUAAUAAAUUUAUUUAUUUUAAAUAAUUAGAAUUUUAUGUUUGAUAUUUUUAUAUUUAUUUUGUUGGGGUGAUUGAGAAAUUUAAUAAACUUUCUUUUUUAUAUAACGUUAAUUUAUGAUUUAUUGAUCCAUUUUUUAUGAUUAAAAGAUUAAAUUACCUUAGGGAUAACAGCGUAAUUUCUUUAAAGAGUUCUAAUCGAAAAAGAAGAUUGCGACCUCGAUGUUGGAUUAAAAUUUAUUUUUGGUGCAGAAGCUAAAAAGGUAGGUCUGUUCGACCUUUAAAAUUUU
rnacentral:rRNA from 1 species